UCUAGUAGGACCUCCCCUCUCCUUUGUGUUUUGACUGGUAUCUGCUCAUUAGCACUAGCUGAAGUGAUCAGUCAGGAGUCCUGAUUAUUCAGUCAAUGCUUUAUCAUGCACUGACACUGGAGCAUCUCCUAGUCUCCUGAACAGAGACAGCCAUGAGGAGGGGAAGCUAUGAUGAUAUUGCUGCUUCAAUAAGCCCUCAGCUCAGGAGUCUGGCACAGCGUCGCCGCUCUGCCCCUUCCCUGGUCUUCGGUAAAGCACUCGGCAAGCCAUGGACCACAGCCAGGACGGAAUCACCCAGGGGGCUAAUACUAAAGUCUGACAUUUCAGUCUAUGCCACCCCUCCCACUCUGUGAUCAUAAGAAGUGGACGCAAAUCAAAACCAAAGUGGGGGUUUUUACUGACCACUUUAAUGUAUAGCGCAUGUUAAUUAAAAUAGAAAUAUUAUACAUUGUGCCAUGGUACCUUUCUGAGUGAAAGCAAAAUCUGUGAAUAGUACAAUUUUAAAUGUGAUUUCUUAAAUCUCUAUGCUACCCUAUUCAGCAGCAAUUAUUGAGUACCUUGUUCGAUUCCAUAUAUCAAUUCAAACUAACUCAGAAUAAUUGGGAGGGAGCUUCCCAAAGUGUACUCCCUUUUAGACAUAGAGGGAACUAAGAUAAUUCUUGUCUUUCAGUGGUUUUAUAUAGCAGCUUCUUUAAUAGCUAUCUCAGUAAAAUAGUUAUUUUGGAUAUUCAUUUUCCAUAGAAACUUCAUAAUACAUUCUAAAUGUAUUCCUAACAACUUGAAUUAAAGCACAUAGGAUCAUGAUGAUAUGUAUUACAUAAUUACAUACAUUGGGAGCAACAUAAAUGGUGGUGGCAUCCCUUCCAAAUGAGAGUAAUCUACACAGUCAUUAUUACAAUGUGUGCAACACUUUAUGUUAAGAGGCCAUUUUGUGUAUUAACUGACAUAUUAACAAUCAUGUUUUAUGUUUAGUAACUCUUUAUUAUUGCUUCAUAAAGUCGAAUGAAACCUGCCGAAUAAUGUUCGUCAACAUACUGAAUUACAUACCGCUUUGUAGUUUUCCUUAUACUUAACAAAAAACUGACAGAUUAAAAAAUGUGACAUUGUUUCCAGUGCAUGGGUUAUUCCUGCUAUCAUCACUCUCACCAUCAUCAUCAUCAUGUUAUCUGUAGUGGACAAUAAAAAGGCCCCAUUGCGGUGAUGUACAGUUCUGUACAGCUGGUAGUUCAUUCAUAACUAGAAAACACUCAGUAGGUAGCAGAAGAUUGAAAAGGUACAAAAUAAAUAUUAGCCAAUUUGUGGAUUUAAAGUACUAUAUAUUAAUAUAAAUCAGUUGUUCUCACUGGAGCUUACGUCAUCAUUUGACUACACACUUUACCUCCAUCCAUUCUGACCUACUUUCAGCAUAUUCUUUUGCAUAUUUUUUUUUCUGAGUCAAUAAAUAUCACUUCAGUUGCUAUACAAAUGCAUUUAUUUCUUUAAGAUUCUUUAAAACAGAAAUACUAUAGUAAGCGUUAUCUGCAAAAUGCAUUGGACCAGAUUCUAUUCUGGGGUGUUUUCUUUUCUGAGAUAUCAUGAUAAAGCCAUGCCUGUAUCUGUAUAUCAGUCUCUAAGUCU